rnacentral:rRNA from 7 species
CCCAGACAGCCAGGAUGUUGGCUUAGAAGCAGCCAUCAUUUAAAGAAAGCGUAAUAGCUCACUGGUCGAGUCGGCCUGCGCGGAAGAUGUAACGGGGCUAAACCAUGCACCGAAGCUGCGGCAGCGACACUGUGUGUUGUUGGGUAGGGGAGCGUUCUGUAAGCCUGUGAAGGUGGCCUGUGAGGGUUGCUGGAGGUAUCAGAAGUGCGAAUGCUGACAUAAGUAACGAUAAAGCGGGUGAAAAGCCCGCUCGCCGGAAGACCAA